rnacentral:rRNA from 1 species
AGAUUGAACGCUGGCGGCAGGCCUUACACAUGCAAGUCGAACGGCAGCACGGGAGCAAUCCUGGUGGCGAGUGGCGAACGGGUGAGUAAUAUAUCGGAACGUGCCCAGUCGUGGGGGAUAACGCAGCGAAAGCUGUGCUAAUACCGCAUACGAUCUAUGGAUGAAAGCGGGGGAUCGCAAGACCUCGCGCGAUUGGAGCGGCCGAUAUCAGAUUAGCUAGUUGGUGGGGGUAAAAGCCUACCAAGGCGACGAUCUGUAGCUGGUCUGAGAGGACGACCAGCCACACUGGAACUGAGACACGGUCCAGACUCCUACGGGAGCAGCAGUGGGGAAUUUGGACAAUGGGCACAGCCGUG